AUCUGACACGAUUCUCCCAUAAACCAGCAACUCACAGAAAGAAAGAAAAAAGAGAAACUUUCUUUACAUUAUUUUAAUUUUUUUUGCCUUCCCUUUCCCGCGGCUUGGUGUUCUUAUUAUACGGUGAAGGAGGAGAGGAAAAGAUGGGUGAACUGUAACUCUCGGCGUAUGUUAGCCACGUGCCGCACCUUUCUGUUAAUUUUUUGAAACACCGAAUGGCUAAUAUGCGCGUAUGUGUUAUCAUCUUUUUGUUACUUUCUUUUUAACCACGUGAUGGUAAAUUAAUACUAACAACGUCUCCUCUAAUCUAUCACCCAAAGUUCUCGGAGCGAAAGUGAAAAUAAUAAAUUUACUGUUUCGAGUUUUAAGCCGAUUCUCUGAUUCUAAAGAUUCGUAAACGUUAGAUUGUAUCGUAAUUUAAAGAUUCUUGUCAAAAAAAAAUGAUAUGAUUCCAUCUUUAAUCUUUGUAAAAAAAAAAAUUAAUCUUUGUAAGAACCAUUGUGAAAGAGAUUCACGAUUUGUAUAUAUUCUGUCGAAUAUUAUAAGAUAUAGAAUGUGCCAUAAAUCGUUCUAGAAUAUUUACUUUUUUCAUAAUUUAAGCACCAAAAGGAAUAAUAUAUAGUUAUUUCCAUUUAAUAUCGAGAAAAAGAACAACUGAAAAUGUUUUUUUUUUAACGAGCGCCACUAUGGAAUAUGGUACCGUAUCAAAUUAUUGUGUAAUGUUUGUUUUCCUUAUAUAACAAAAAUCACACGAGAGUGAGAAAAACGCUGAAUAUAAUAUGGAAUUUCUAGUAAAACCUCCAAAACUUAAUAAUUUAUCAAAAGAGACCCCCAAGGCCCCAAGUGCAGAAACAAUAGUAAUGGCCAAAAAUGGGUGAUAUUUGUCUUUACAUAUUGAACGUUGAUCGUGUAUUUAAUAAUGCAAUUAAACCCAGUGUAGUUAAGAAAACAUAAUGGUGUUACAACGUACAGAUCAACAGUUUCGUCUGAAGAUUCUCUAAAUGUAAUUAUAGAAUUAACUACAAUCAAGAUUCAAUAAUGAAGGAAGGCUAUAUAACGCUUACGGAGUUACAGUAGUAACAGUAACAGAGGAGGAAUGUACUCUUCCUUACGUACUAUUGACCGUACCAUCACAUCUCUUUCCUAAUAUUCCCAUUCAAAGUUAUGAUAUAUCUUUAUAAAAAGGGUAUAUUAUUAUUCUUUUAUAUUCUUACUCUAUUAUUGGUACAUAGACCGUAUUAUAAAUAAAGGAAUUCAUGAGAUUUGAAACCCCCUGCAUUUUUCUUGUUCUUUAACAACUGAAACUAUAAAAUUUAGUUGUGUGAGUUUUAUACAUAUCAUCUGUGUUCACUUUUUCUUCCAAAAACUGGUUUCUUUUAACAGAUACUAUUAUUCCCUAGCGAUGAUUGGACUGAUAUUCUUUGAGGACCCAAAAUCAUAUUUUCGUAGUAAAUACUAAUGUUCAAAAAAAUCGCUAGACGGUAAUUAGACGUUUUAAAGAGAACUAGCGCUUGAGAAGACACUUAAAUGUUGCUUAUACCGAUUUUUUAUCCUUUUAAAAAACAAUGUUUCGCUUAUCAUUGAUUAUUAUCGCCUAGUCAAGCUCCAUUUGUAAAACGUUGGUAUAUACAGUGAUUACUUGAACAGAACGGUACAUUAUCAUGAUUGAAAAUGCAUAUUGGUGAAUGGGGAUGGUGUUGAACAGUUUUAGUUAAGAAUAUUAAUCUUAAGAUGUAUAUAUGUUGUUCGAAAAAAUGUAUAUAUAAAACAUAUAACAAACUAUUAGAUUGCUUCAUUUCAACAAUAUAAAACACGUGGGAUUGAAACAAUACAAAAAUUGCCGACAAAAUUUAAAGAAUCACGGGAAAAAAAUUAGUCAAAAUCUUAACAAGAUUUAAAUGGGUUUUGAGACAUUGAGAAGAAAAAACAAGUAGCAAGUAGUAGUAACUAGAGUUAGAGAGUGGCCAGAGGCAUGGGUUAAGAAAAAAGCCAAAAGGGAACAAGUAGCGGCCAACCGAAUUAAAUGGAGGACUUGGGGUUUUAGAUGCAAGAGUCACAUGGUUUGGCAAAGCCUCGUGCUGCUGCAUCAGCCGGGUCUAGGAAUCUGCUGCGGCCGAACCUACUUUUCUCUUACCGUGUUCCUUCGCCUCCUCUGAUUUAUUCACCCCACGUUUUGUGUACUCUCCCCACUUGAUCAUCUCCAAGUUGAUAAUGUCUUAAUUUUAAAGAUUCGUUAUUAUUUCAAAAUAAUUACAUGUACUCUUACAAGCUGCAUCUCUUAGAUAACGUGCAUUAUUAGAGUAAAAGCACUAAUCUACAUGACUACAUCAUCAGUUUCGUAGUGUAUAUUUUUUUUUUUUGAAUUCAGUAAGAGUUGGACAGAAAACCAUAUUUUUUUUGGGCUACCGACAAGAACUGGUUGCUAAAAAAUUAUCUCUUGCACCCACUGAGACUGGAAACUAACAAUUACAACUAUAUUAUUAAAACAUAAGUACGUUUUCGUACUGUUUAAAAAUAUAGAUAGCAGUAUAAAUGAAAAUUGUUUGAAAACGUUGAUAGCAUUAUAAAAAAGAAAUAUAGUGUCAUUUUAGUAAUUUUAUUAAUAUAAUUACAUUAAUUAUUUUUCUACAUUUUAUUCAGUUUAACAAUUUUAUUAAUUAUAUUAUCUUAACAAUACAUCACAUCAUUAAUUAUAUUAUCAUAAUAAUAAUAUAUAGUGCAAUUUUUUAUUUAAUAGUUAAUCAAUAUUAAUUUUGUGCCAAUUAUAAAAUCAAAUAUCUAAAAUAAAUGGGCUUUGUAUAUGGUUAAACGUUCAGUUUAGUUUUUUACUAAAAGUUUUUUUAGUUUCAAUCAGUGAAAAAUUAUGUAGCCAAAAAUAUAAUUAUUUUACUAAAUAAAAAAAAUCAAUUUCAAUUAGUUAAGCCAAACACAUCAAAAAAGUUCUUUUAUUAAUUUAUAAAAUCAGUUAGACAUGAACUUUGACUAUCCAUUUAGGUAGGAGUGGUUCUUUUCGGGUAUCGUUUUUUUUUUAAAUAGGCCCCCUUUGAAUAUUAUAAAUUUAUAUGUGAGUUUUAUGUGGGUCCUUCUGGGUCUGGAUGAGUUCAGUUCUGAUGUAUUAGAACCUAAAAAUAUAUAAAUAACAAAUGUAGAUGAAAAGGAUUCGGAUAUGUGUACCAAAAAUAACCAUAUUACUCUAUUUGGUCCAAGUCUUUUUAAUACAAUUAGUUAUAUUACGAUUCAUCUUAAAUAUAUAACACUGGUUAAAAAACAAAUAUCGAUGUAUAAAAAUGUAAAAACCAAUAUCCGCACGGGUGCGCGAAUCAAUCUCUAGUCUAUUUUAUUAAAACUGAAGUAUCUUUUAAAAUUGUUUGAAAACAUGAAUAGCAGUAUAAAUGAGAAUUAUUUAAAAAAUGAUAGUAUUAUAAAAAAGAAGUAUAGUGUCCUUUUAGUAAUUUUAUUAAUAUAAUUACAUUAAUUAUAUUUCCAUAUUUCACUCAUUUUAACAAUUUCAUUAAUUAUAUUACCUUAACAAUAUAUCACAUCAUUAAUUAUAUUAUCAUGAUAAUAAUAAUGCAAGUUUUUAAUUAUUAGUUAAUCAACAUUAACUUUGUGUCAAUUAUAAAAAAAAUGUAAAAUAAUUGAGUUUUUCAUAUGGUUAAACGUUUGGUUUAUUUUUUUUUUUACUUUUUUUUUCAUUUUAGUUACAAUCGCUGGAAAAUUAAGUAGCCAAAGAACAUAAUUCAAAUAAUUAUUUUUGUAAAUAAUAUAAUAAAUUAAAUCAAAAUAAUAAAAAUGUAUUACAUUUAUUGUCACUUAAGUUUUCACUCCACAUAAUUACAUAGCUAAAAACAGAAUUCAAAUAAUUGCUUUUGUGAAUAAUAUAAUAAUUUAAAUAAAAAUAAUAAAAAUGUGUUACAUUUAUUGUCACUUAAGUUUUCACUCCACAUAGAAAAUAUUUUUGUUUAAAUUUCUUAUAACUAUGUAUAUAUAAAUUAUAUUUAUAUACAUGUAAUUAUAAUAUCUAAUUAAAAAAAACAAAAGUAUUAUAUUUAUUCAACCGCAACCAUAAACACCAGAAGAAACUAUUUUGUAAUUUUGAGAUAUUUGGAAAAGUACAAAAUAAUUUAUCAUAUUUUUUAUCAUUGUAAAACGUCAAAUGUUUUCUAUUACUCACAAAUGCAGCGUUUGCGGUUGAUAGCGGGAGAACCAAUUAAACUAUAAGUCUUUUCUAGAUUUAUAUUUUUCAUACUGAAUUUAAAAAAAAAUUAUGUUUAUAUGUGGAUAAAUAACGGAUUGGAUAUUUAGCAGAUUGGCAGAUUUUGAUCAGAUAUAAUUUUUAGAAAGGGCUUUUAAAAAAAAUUAUCAGAUAUUUUUCCUAUUAAAUCAAAUACCAAAACUAAAAGAUUGUACUCAUAAAGAUCAGAACCGAUGACAGAUAUCUGCCAAAUUCAAGAUCCCUUGGAAUUCAAAGGCACCCAGCCCAACUGCCCAACCCUAACUAAAUGGGUGGUGCAUCUAUAUAUGUCAGGAUUGUAUUGAAUCCUUUAUUACUUUUACUAUUUAGACAUAUUUAUAUUGGCCAGCAUUGCCGCAAUUCAAUACUGUAACUGCACAUGGUUAAUAAUAUCGAUUAUGAUUGGCUUUUAUUAUAAAGAAUAAUUUUUAUUAAAAAAAAAUAUUAAGAUUAACGGGGAAAUGAAACUGUAGAAAACCGUAGUAACUAAUAUGCUACUUGUAAAAACCAUGUUUGUGUAUGUUCGAGGUCGUUUGUCAAACAAAAAAAUGUUAGAGGUAGGUCGUUGGUCGAGAAUAUUACAACAGAAGGCAGUUUCAAGUUUUAAUUAACACCAAAAGGCAGUUCUUUAUACCCAGGCAGUUUUUAUUAACUAAACCCUUUAAGUGUAACUAAACUCUCCAGCCGCUCAUCUCGACCCCUUUUUAAACGGUGCAGAUCGUCCCCUUUUUUUUUUUUCUGAUUUGACUUAUAUCUAACCCUUAACUUAACCAUUGGAUUAUAUUUUCACUUUCUUAAUCGACGGCUUAGAUUAAACACUCAUUUAAAAACCAAAUCUUAAAUAUAUAUUUUUUUUCUCUAUUCACGUUUCUCAAACAACCGCCGUCUCCGUCCUCAUUCUGGUGUGACAGCAAAAGUAACAUGUCGCAACAACACAACUGACCGCCUUCUCCGUUAGCCAAUAUAGCUAACUUCCACUUUCUACUUGUCACAGGGUUACUCAUGGCUGUACAUACACAAUUUAUGUAAAUAUCCACAUCAUCUAAAUUAUGUACACAUUCAUGUGAUCAUCCAGUGUACCCGUGUACACUAACAUUAUGUACACAUCCACGUCAUUUAAAUUAUGUACACAUCCAUGUGAUCAUCCAGUGUACUCGUGUACACUAACAUUAUGUACACAUCCAUGUGAUCAUCCAGUGUACUCGUGUACACUAACAUUAUGUACACAUCCACGUUAUUUAAAUUUUUUUUAAUUUUUUUUUUAAUUAAUGGCAAUUUUGUAAUAAUUUCAUUUUCUUCAUAUAAGGGUUUCUGCGUUUCCUGCAAAUAUUUCUCAAAGCCACCAUUGAUUUUUCAUCAUGCAAUCUUCAUUAUUUUUGGGUUUUUACUUUCAAAACUUACAAAUAUUAUAUAUCUUAACCGAUUAGAACCCAAAAUAAAAAAAAAAAUUUAAUUUUCGAAUUUGGACAAAUUAUGAGAGCAUUACAUGUAGACAUACUUUGGGCUGGGUAUAUAACACUUUAAGGUACUUUAUGCUGGUGGUGUACUUUUGGCCUUCUGUGUUGAGUUGAGAUUUCCAUCAUACCCCUGUGAGUAUUAAUAGUUACGACCAAGUUUAUAAAAGGUAAACACUAGUUAGAGUUCUCUUGUUGCAAUUAAUUGGUAACUUUAUUGAGUGGUGGACUUUCGUAAUAGCCGUUGGAUUAAAGAUAAUAAAGAGAAAUCUGAGGGCUGAGGUUUGGUGUGGUCAAGAGAGGUAGUGAUGUGGGCAGAGUUAGAAGUGUUGAGGUCAUGGCUAGAGAGUGUGUGGUCGUGGCCAGAGAUCGUGUGGUCAUGGUUAGAAACCGUGUGGUUAAAGUUACGUAGAACAUUCCUAAGGAGAUAGAGGAUGUUGGGUCUGAAGUAGAUCUUCUAUUGUUUCCUUGGAUACCUGUUAGUGAUGAAGAGCCGUUCAAGUAGAUGUGAGAUUUAAGAACAGUUAGAUUUAGAAUUUGAGACAUCAAAAGUAGAGAAAAAUACAAAAA